UACGUAGGGGGGCUAGCGUUGUCCGGAUUUAUUGGGCGUAAAGAGCGUGUAGGCGGCCAGGUAGGUCUGCUGUGAAAACUCGAGGCUCAACCUCGAGACGUCGGCGGAAACCAUCUGGCUAGAGUCCGGAAGAGGAGAGUGGAAUUCCUGGUGUAGCGGUGAAAUGCGCAGAUAUCAGGAAGAACACCCGUGGCGAAGGCGGCUCUCUGGGACGGUACUGACGCUGAGACGCGAAAAGUGUGGGGAGCGAACAGG
rnacentral:rRNA from 1 species